rnacentral:rRNA from 1 species
GACGAACGCUGGCGGCGUGCUUAACACAUGCAAGUCGAACGGUGAAGGGACCGGUUUUUGCUGGUUCUGGAUGAGUGGCGAACGGGUGAGUAACACGUGAGUAACCUGCCCCCUUCUUCUGGAUAACCGCAUGAAAGUGUGGCUAAUACGGGAUAUUCUGCGCCUGCUGCAUGGUGGGUGUGGGAAAGAUAUUGUUUCGGUGGGGGAUGGGCUCGCGGCCUAUCAGCUUGUUGGUGGGGUGAUGGCCUACCAAGGCGGUGACGGGUAGCCGGCCUGAGAGGGUGGACGGUCACACUGGGACUGAGACACGGCCCAGACUCCUACGGGAGGCAGCAGUGGGGAAUAUGGCACAAUGGGCGCAAGCCUGAUGCAGCGACGCCGCGGGAGGGAUGGAGGCCUUCGGGUUGUAAACCUCUUUCGCCAGUGAAGCAGGCCUGUCCCUUUUGUGGGUGGGUUGACGGUAGCUGGAUAAGAAGCGCCGGCUAACUACGUG